rnacentral:lncRNA from 1 species
UUACAGCACAUGUGGGUCACACGAUCAGUUUCCUGCCGAGACUUGCUGAGAUGAUUUACUUCUCUGUAAACAGCAUGACAGUUAGCUUAGCGUAGCAUGAGGACUAGACGCUCACUGCAGGUACAUUAUAUUUAUCACUGAAUGGUUGAGGUGAAGGAAACACUCAAAAAGAACAUUUUGAUUGGAAAUGUCUAGGCCACAAUAUGAUGCAUGUGCUUCUGUUCCUACAAAACAGGAUCAUUUUUGAGAAGCAGGAAAACGUGAUUUUGCCCGGUAACGGACCCGGUGCUGCUGUAACCAGUAUAUCCUGCUGAGCGGCAGGCAGGUCACACUUUGUUGCAAUAACAUGCAGUUUGGACUUGUUUACCCGUCUCAGGUACGCCUGACUGACUCACCUGACCCCGUGCGAUUGCAGCGUUCGCUCCUUCGGCCCCUAAUCUGGACUCCUUUUCCCCACUUCCACGGUGGAGGGAACCCAGCUUUCACCCGUGGCCUAUUGAAACACUGUGUGCUUUAUUGCUGUACAGAAGCUCAGGUGAAACUGCAUCCUGCCGUGUCCUGCUGAGUCAUGCUACCUGACUGACUGUUAGUCACCAACACUGGUCUAAAACCAACAGCAUGCGAGGCACCGCGUGACUAAUCCGACUGAUACUGUAGCACCUCACGUCCUGUAUCAGUUCCCACCAGCCGUUUCGAGCUCGCGCCGCUGCUUCACCUGUUUAUUCCCCGGUGAAUCAGCCGUGGCGUUUCCAGGAAGACUGGCUCCGCAGCUGAACACCCUCAAGUGCUUUAGUGCGUCUUUUGUCCUGAUACGAGUCGGCUCAUUUUUGCUGAGGGCGCGUGUGGCAGGCGGGAUCCAGCUGCAGCGCUGGAUGACGCCCAGGAGGAAGUCCUCCGCGAAUGUUGUUCUCGAGAAAUGUUGGUGUAAAACUGAAAAACAAAGUACGAGUUCUGUGUCCGUGUGUUCUGCGAUAGCUCUCAAACCUUAGCAUGCUAGCAGGCUAAAACACGUUCAGCUUGGACGGAGCUCCAUCAACACUGUGAACCCCCUCGUGGCGUUUUUACGCGUCUGCUGGUCCUGGAUCAGUCUGCUGCAGCUUAAAGAGGAGGCCACUCAAAUGGCUGCUUUAUGUCAGAGCGGCGUGGACGCUGCACACUGGGGGAUGGUGCUUGGAUUUAGGUGUCUCCAGUCAUCCCACCACUGCACCACCACCACCACCACCACCACCACUGUUCCUUUCCUCACAGACCGAUCCACUCGCGUCGACUGCAGCCGCUUUCCUCACUUGAGCUCUUGCGGGAAUUGAUAAAUACGUCGUUUCUACACAGCUCUGGGAAAUAACCGUGUGAAAGAGGAACUAAACCCUCUUCCCGUGCUCUGGUUAGAAUAGAUGAAACACAAGAACGCCACGUUUUUUUUUCUGGUGAAAGAAUAUGUAAAAUAAUACAGCCAGAUGGCCUUCUGAAUGCCACAUCGCCUUGCUCGCGCCGAACACUGGGAACUUUCUAGUGUGUGCUUUUGUGCACGGCGCUGAAAGUGUGCAUUCAUUCUCGCAGGAGAGCGU